CCCAGACUCCUACGGGAGGCAGCAGUGGGGAAUAUUGCACAAUGGGGGAAACCCUGAUGCAGCGACGCCGCGUGAGUGAAGAAGUAUUUCGGUAUGUAAAGCUCUAUCAGCAGGGAAGAAAAACCGACCAUAGGGUCGCUAGACGGUACCUGAUUAAGAAGCCCCGGCUAACUACGUGCCAGCAGCCGCGGUAAUACGUAGGGGGCAAGCGUUAUCCGGAUUUACUGGGUGUAAAGGGAGCGUAGACGGCUGUGCAAGCCAGAUGUGAAAGCCCGGGGCUCAACCCCGGGACUGCAUUUGGAACUGUGUGGCCGGAGUGUCGGAGAGGCAGGCGGAAUUCCUAGUGUAGCGGUGAAAUGCGUAGAUAUUAGGAGGAACACCAGUGGCGAAGGCGGCCUGCUGGACGAUGACUGACGUUGAGGCUCGAAAGCGUGGGGAGCAAACAGGAUUAGAUACCCUCGUACU
rnacentral:rRNA from 1 species